rnacentral:rRNA from 1 species
UACAGAGGUCUCGAGCGUUAGGCGGAAUCACUGGGCUUAAAGCGUGUGUAGGUGGAUCGUUAAGUACCUUGUGAAAUCCCACGGCUUAACCGAGGAACUGCCCUCCAAACUGCGUUGCUUGAGGCCGGGAGAGGUGAGUGGAAUUCCCAGUGUAGCGGUGAAAUGCGUAGAUAUUGGGAGGAACACCAGUGGCGAAGGCGGCUCACUGGACCGGUUCUGACGCUGAGGCGCGAAAGCGUGGGGAGCAAACGGG